rnacentral:rRNA from 1 species
CAUAGCGACUAUCGUGGCAUAUCAAUAAGCGGAGGAAAAGAAACUAACAAGGAUUCCCUUAGUAACGGCGAGUGAAGCGGGAAGAGCUCAAAUUUGAAAUCUUCAAGGUUCUACCUUGACGAAUUGUAGUUUAUAGAAGUGUUUUCUGUUAGUGGAGUGGCAAAAGUUCUUUGGAAUAGGACAUCAUAGAGGGUGAGAAUCCCGUAUUUGGUCAUUCCUCCUAGCGUUGUGAUACACUUUCAACGAGUCGGAUUGUUUGGGAAUGCAGUCCAAAAUGGGUGGUAAAUUUCAUCUAAAGCUAAAUAUUGGCGAGAGACCGAUAGCGAACAAGUACCGUGAGGGAAAGAUGAAAAGAACUUUGAAAAGAGAGUUAAACAGUACGUGAAAUUGUCAAAAGGGAAGCGUUUGACACCAGUGUUGUUUUUCCGAAAAUCAAUUACGAAUGUUUUGUCUUUGAGGAGUUAUGACUUCAUCGGCUUGCUCCUUUCUUUACGAAACUUUCUUAAUGCACUUUUCGGUUAACAAGUCAACAUCAAUUUCUUUUGCUGUAAAAGGGUAUGAGGAAGGUAGCUUCAUCUUCGGUUAGAAAGUGUUUAUAGCCUUGUAGCCUCUGCAAUCGGAGAGAUUGAGGUCUGCAGCGUAGACUCUUCGGGGUUAGAUACAUUUGUGCUAAGUUAUAGCUUUUCAUAGACAACUUGUUGACUAUGUUUAGUCUUGUAGCUUACUCGCUUAUGCUAUUUUACCUACGCUUAGGAUGUUGAUAGUCACAGCGUGUA